rnacentral:tRNA from 1 species
GCCUCCAUAGUUAAAUGGAUAUAACAGCCCCCUCCUAAGGGGCAGUUGCAGGUUCGAUUCCUGCUGGGGGUG